rnacentral:snoRNA from 1 species
UGAGAUUUGGAUGAUGAAAUCAGUUACGGAUGUUGAGUCAAAGACUCGCUUGUCCGAGAGCGCAAAACCCCAUGUGGAUCCCUCCGUUGCCUUCCUUCUGACCUCUCUU